CUUACGAUGCCAUUGGGGUAAAUAAACUGUCGGCGUCAAUGGAGUCACACAUAAAACCAAGUCAGCCAGUUUGUGAGCAACCUACGAUCCAAGUCAUGGAAACCUAAAUUACUCAAGAAACUUAAAAUUACAGUCUUGAACGCUAAAAUUACAGUAUAUCCGCGGUCGAGCGAUGCCAACUCCCCCGGCUUCGCCGGCUCGCUACCACCAAAAUUCCUUUUGCCUCUUCAGAGCAGAAAUCCAAAGCUACAACUAACAAAAGCUCAAAUUGCACAAGUACACGAGCCCGAAAACGAUCCAUCUUACCGUCACAAUGCUGUUUUAGGUUUCACCACUUUGAAACCUGUUAUCGCUUAUAGUGCAGCUCUGGUAGUUGGGAGCGCCGUAGGGGAUCGGUUUGAGCUGUCACUUGCACGGUGCUUGGUAUGGCCAGGUAUUGCUGCUGAUUCCCCUGACACGACGCACCUCUGGAUACUGCUGCUAAGUGGGGGGGCUGUUAAGAGCGUACGCCGUUCAAGACCAUCUUGCUGUAUGCGUGCGAAUGCCAAUAUGCGAAACCCACUGUGUUCAAACCUGCGCCUCUCUCCUUUGUUAUGCAGCUUUCUUAUGUACAAGUCAAUUCGAAACCCGUACACAAUAAUGGAGACGCGUACUUUGGUUUCGGGAUACUGAGGUGGUGCAUACGGCUGUUACAAAGGCUGGCGCAGGCGAGCUGAAGACGCGACAAUGCGAACCCCAGAAAUGAACCCACCUGGAGCGGGCGCCCCAAGAGUACCGUACAUGCGAGGUCAGGAGGGAAGAGAAACGGCAGGAGAGAGCGUGCGGCAGUGCUGUUGUCAGGAUGCGAAAUCGACCAAGGAAGCGAGCCAGGGUUGCUGCCUACGGCAACCUAACACCGGCCGGGCGAGGUGGGCGGUGGGCGCCAAUGCAAGGGGACGCCAUGUGUCAAUAUGAUGGCUGGCUUGUGCCAUCGCCCACCCAGGCUUGUGGCGGCCCGGGGCCCACAGCACAUGCCGAGGGCCAAGAGUCAGCAGUCCUCUGAUGGUAGUGAUAGGUUGAUUGGAGGAGACGGAGGGGCAGACGGGGCUCUCCGACGGACGGGGCGCAUGCACCCCGAAAUAAACCUGCUGGUAAACCUGGCCUGACGCACCGGAUCCAUUUUUCAUUGAGUUCCACAGGUCUACCAAUG
rnacentral:lncRNA from 1 species